rnacentral:sRNA from 1 species
GAGUUGCUCUGAAACCUACCGCAUGCCAGUGAUGGAGUACAAAAUGAAUGAAGGUGUUUCAUAUGAAUUCAAGUUUCCCUUCCGAAAUAAUAACAAGUGGCAGAGGAACGCCAGCAAGGGGCCUCAUUCACCUCAAGUCCCGUCCCAGGUGCAGAGUCCCAUGACCUCGCGGCUGAAUGCUGGAAAAGGAGAUGGGAAGAUGCCUCCUCCAGAAAGAGCCGCCAACAUCCCUCGAAGCAUCUCCAGUGACGGGCGCCCACUAGAGAGGCGGUUUGGAGUGAGCCGUAGAUCCCCAGCCUCCAUUGACAGGCAGAACACCCAGUCAGAUAUUGGUGGCAGCGGAAAAUCCACGCCUAGCUGGCAAAGAAGUGAGGAUAGCAUUGCUGACCAGAUGGCUUACAGUUAUAGAGGACCUCAGGAUUUCAAUUCUUUUGUCCUCGAGCAGCAUGAAUAUACAGGUAAAAUAUUUCCAAAGUGUCAUGGUAAGUAACACGUGAUUGCAUCCAUGCCUGUCUAGGUAAUGUAGACCAAGCUAGGUUAGCCACACUUGGCAAUGAAUGAAUUUCAUAAAUUUAAUUCAUAUAAUCUAAAUUUUUCCCCCAAACCAAAAGUUGAUUCUGAACUUUGCUGCGUUGUUCAUGGCCUUUGGUUUGGUGGUACUUGGCUAUGCUAAUGUGUAUGACGUGACAAGUUGUCACCAGCUGCAAGCUUUAUCCAUCAGCCACUUAAGUUUCUGACCUGCUGUCUAUCAAAUAGACUCUUAACAAGCUUACUGCUGAAAUGCAGAGUUUGCUGGUCAGUGAACUGAAAGAUGCAAUGGCAAGCCAUCUUCAUUUGUCACCAUGUGCUUGUUUCUGCUUAGUGCCUGCACCAUAAUGUCCUAUGCUGUAUUCCAGAGCCAACAUGCCAUCUCCCAGCAGUAUCAAAGGUACUGCCAGCUUUCCGAGAGAGCCCCAGUGGGAGAUUAAUGCGGCAGGAUCCAGUGGUUCAUUUGUCUCCAAACAAACAAGGGCAUUCUGAUAGCCACUACUCGAGCCACUCCAGUAGCAAUACUCUCUCCAGCAAUGCGUCGAGUGCCCAUAGUGAUGAGAAGUGGUACGAUGGGGACCGCACAGAAUCCGAACUCAACAGCUAUA